UGCUCCCCUUUUCUAGCGCCUCAACCUGCUGCUCCUUCUCCUUCGCCUGCUGCUAGUCCCUUUCCCCAUGCCUCUGCUGCUCCUCCUCUUAAAACUGCUGCUGCUCUUCUUCCCCACGUUCCUGCUCUGCACUCUGCUUCUCACCUCCGUUGCUGCUGUUUCUCUUCUGAACCUCUGCUACUGUUCAGCUCUGAACCUCUGCAUCUGUGUUGAAUGUGCUUUCAGUGUUCUUGACAUGUGUAAAACUGUUCAAUAUUCAGCUUACAAUUUGUGAAACUUUUGUGAUACAGUGAUGUCUCUAUGUUAUACAUAUAGCUUGUGUACUGCUUGCUGCAGUAAAUUUCAGUUUGUAAGUUCCUGUGAUAGCUCCAGUACAUGUGACUUUUAUGUUGUCUCAAGUUCCUGUUAUAUAUAUACAUAUGUGUGUGUCUGUGAUCUGAAACAUUUAUGUUCUAUCCUACAACCUUAUUGUGUUAGCAUUUUAUUUCUCAUGUAAAACGAAAAUACCAAAAAUAUUAUUGAAGAUAAUCUGAACCUCCUUUGCCCUUUUUGCAUUUUCUUUGGUGACGAUCUUUGGGUACAACCUUGUUUAGUGUAGGUUUAUUUUCUUGCAUUCAUAAUCUGAAUUGUGUUACCUAGCUUUAGCCAACCACCGUCAUUGAUUUGCCUAGUCCCUCAUGAGAACACGACACUCAUAGUUUGGGGCGUAAAAACCCCGCUAUAUUACAAUUGAUCAUUUUGGCGCCGUUGCCGGGGACUAGCGUCGAGCGAUUGUGCGAAGCUAUAGACUAGGCUUAGUAUAGUUUUUGUUUAAAUUUCCAGUCAAAUUUAUUUCUGUGUUUCUUUUACCUUUUUACUAUUUGUUGCUUCGGCUUAUUAGGAUACUAACCCUCUCACCAAUGUUUCAUGUUUGUGAGCGUGUGUAGGAUAUCUUAUUAUUUGUAGGCUGAUUGAUAGUUGCACUUGAACAUAUGGCUUUAGUACGUGAUCUUUGGUUGCCAAGUAGUUUGGACACGAUGACAGGGCCAAUUUGGCCAUCUAUUGAGGCCAAAAAUUUUGAGUUGAGGCCUGGACUUAUUGCUCUCGUCUUGCAGAAUCAGUUUAGAGGAUUACCCAAUGAAGACCCUCAUGAGCACAUUAGUAAUGUUCUGGAGUAUGCCAAUACAGUCUAGUAUCAUGGCGUUUCCCAAGAUGCUAUCAAGUGUAUGUUGUUCACAUUCUCUCUCAGAGAUGCUGCUAAGGACUGGUACUAUUCUUUUCCAUCAAGAUCAUACACUUGGGGUGAUAUUUCACAAGCUUUCCUGCAUAGAUAUUUUCCACUUUACAAGCAAGCUGCAAUUCGUGACCAGAUCCUCAGUUCUGCGCAAGAUGGUAGUGAGAGCUUGUAUGCAGCUUGGGAGAGAUAUAAGUAUUUGCUUAGAAAAUGUCCUAAUCAUGGGCAAAAGGAUUGGUUAGUGCUUCAGAUAUUCUAUAGAGGGAUGACACAUGCUUCAAGAGAUCUUAUUGAUAUGUCAACUGGUGGAACAAUCAUGAACAAGACCGUCGAGGGUGCAAUUAUUCUCAUUGAGAGCAUUGCCUUCCACCAAAUUCAAUGGGGUUAUGAAAGGCCUAGUUCAAAUCCGAAGGUUGCAAGCCUCGUGCAAUCAAAAGUUGUGUGUUCCAUAAGUGAACAGAAAUCAUCCAUGGUGCCUAAUAUUCAAAACCAGCAUGUUUCAUUCCGGGGACAACAACAUUUCAGAACUGAAUUAAAUCCUCCAUAUAGAACGAUUGAUCUUACUUCAAUUAUCCUUGAUGAUGAUUAUGAUAUUUUUCAAGAUGAUGAAACUACUGUAGAUCAGAUGGAAACCACAGUAGCAGAUCCAAUACCUCAUGGCAAUGAAACUGUCCAGAAUGAGUCAAAGCUGCAAGAAGAUGUUUAUGAGGAACCUACUCUGAUUGAUGCUAAGUUGAGACAGCAAGAUAUGGAGAUAUUCACUUGUGUUAGUCAACUAUGUGACUGGUGGAAUUUAGUCGUGUCACCAAUUGCCCACACUUGUGUUACAACGGUAUCUGGGCUAUUUGUCAAGAAGAAAUCAUUAGCUCCACCGGUGGUUGCCUCUAUCACAGUUAAAGAGAGUAUCUCAGAGAAGAAUAGUGAAGAUGAUAUUCCAACUCCUGCACAUACAACUAAGCAAGUCGGAGCCAUUCCAAGGAGAGAGAUACAAGAGGUUGAGUCAAAUUUAGAAGAGUUGAUACUUCAAUAUCCUGAGAAGAUCCCACGUGUUGCUGAGCUGCAUGACUGGUGGAAGUCAUCAGUGUCACUGUGGAGACUUAGUAGUGAUGGUGAUGAGGAGAACAUUGCUCAGAAAGACAACGAGGUAGUGAUCUCAGCACCCCUACCAGAUCAUGUUAGUGAAUAUUCACAUAUGGGGACACUUCAGACUCAAUUAAGUGUUGCUGGUAGUAGCACCAUAGAAGAUCCAGAGGAAGAGAGUCCUCAACUUGAAGAAGAUUUACAAGAAGACAAGGAACAAGAUGAUCAAGAGCUGCAAUUUCCAAGUGAUCAAGUUGAAGACUCAUCAUCUACUACUCCUGAAGAAGUACAAGAUGCUGCUAUAGAUGAAGAUGAAGAACCUGAGAUUCAUUGGCCUAUUGUCAUACAUGAGCGCGAUGUGUCAGGUUUACCCAAUCCUCUUGAUGACAUGCUCCCUUGUGACUUCUUUGCUUCUAACUUGCAUUGCAUGAUGCCAUCACUUAAGGUAGAUUUGAAAAACUAUUUGCUUGGACAUGAUCAUACACACCCUGUUAGUGGCAUUACUCUCAUUUGUGAUGAUCACAGUUACUUUCCUCGUGCUAGUUCUAUGCUUAAUGAAACAUAUCAUUCCCAUGUUAGUCUUGAGCUUAAUGAUAAAUAUCAUCCUCAUGUUAGCAUUGAGCUUACUGAUUUGUACCGUCCUAAACAUGUGCUUUAUAGCUAUGCUUAUGUAAUUGGGUACUCUAUAGAUGAUUUAGAGGGCAUUACCCUUGUCACUUGUAUUGUUUCCCUGGUUGAGUGCUCUUUCAGGUUGUUGCUUGUGCACGAUCCACUACAUGCUGACCAAGUUCGAGAUGACAUUCCCUGGGACCCCGGUGGACCCAUGGCAUGGGGAUGAGGAGAAGCAAGGAGCACACAUGAAGAGAGAAGCUGGAGCAGGCAUGAGGAUAGAGAAGCAAAAAGAGAAGAGCUGCAGCUUAGAGAGUGAUCAAGCGAGUGCUACUUCAUAGUGCCCGGUUAGCUGUUUCAUGACCCAUUCUGAGUAUAUCAUCCAUUGAUGCUUGCUGAAUUAAAUUGCUAUUUGGGUUGCUUGUGCCAUUUAUUAAAUGUUGUCCCACUGAAUUUCACCUUUGACAUAUGGUGCUUGAUGAGAAUAUGCGAACUAAUUGUUGAACGCCUUGUAACUAGUGAUCUACACCCUGUUUGCACUGCUGAAAGUAGUGAAAGCUAUUAGUUCUGAGUGCUCAAAUCCCUAGUACACUAGAAAACUAAAUCAUUUUCUGCAUUUACUAUGAUACACCUAGAUCACCAUGUUUAGAUGCUGAAUUUGUGCCAAGUGUGUUCCCAUUGAGAGCAAUCACCUAACCACUAUGGAAUAGCAUGCUAUGUUCCCUGGAUCGGUAGCAUGUGAACCAGACAUGGAGAAGUGAUGAUUCCUAUUUUUGUGCUUAUGCAUUGUUCAUUUAAGAUAAGUAAUAAUGAAUAAAUUAGUCUGACUACCUACAGUAGCAUGUCAUGUUCUUGGGAUCGGUGGCAUGUGAAAUCGGGUUAGCUUGGGCAGUAAUUAUUAUAAAAAUGUAAUUGUCGAACCAGGUGUAUACCAUGUUCUCGGGAUCGGUGGUAUGUUCCUUUGGGGAGACAAACAAGAAAACUAUAUAAUUGGUCGAGCCGGGUGUAUACCAUGUUCUCGGGAUCGGUGGUAUGUUCCUUUGGUGAGAUCAAUAAAAUAUUAUCAUUACUUCCUUCAAAUUCAAUAAGUGGUUCAACCACAAAGUUAUAUUUCUGCAAAUAAGAGAUUUAAUUCCAGUUCUUUUUGUUCUCGGGAUCAUGCUCUCUUUAGGAAUCAUUUGGCGCAAUCAUCAUUUAAACUUGUUGGUCCUCUUUUAUCAUUGUAAAAGUUUAAAAUGGUCAUGCUUACCAGUAUCCUACUGCUUUGUAGCACUCUUAACCAUCAAUUUUCACUAGCUAAGUCCAAAAGCAUGCAUUGUUUAGAGAUCUACUUCACUUGGACAUUCUUUACUCAGUUCACUGUUCACAUUCUUGCUCUUGUCAUAUGCCUUUACUUGAGGACAAGCAAAGAUUUAAGUGUGGGGGAACUUGAUAAGUAUAUUUCACAUAUAUAAUUUUGGUACUCAAAUAUAGCUUCUAUCGUGACAUAUUCGUCCAUUCUUGCCAUGAUUGAUUGAAUAUUGCUUGAUAAUCAUCAAAGAGGAUCAUUUACUAGUCUUUGGUCUAUCUUGCAGAAAUGUGCGCAAAGGCACUAAUAAUCGUCAAGAUUCCGUCUAUGUGGCUAUCGUGAAGAGUGAAGAAGAGAAGAGAAGGAAGAAGAGACUUGUGUGAGAUGAAGAGAAGUAACCAGGGGGCUAGGUAAAGAAGUGGGAGGACCUUCUUGUGAAGAAAGAAGAGAAGAAAGAGGGCCAAAUCACAAAGUGCAGAUGAGAGGAGGGGAACAAAAUCUAGGCGCUGGAGGGAUCCGAUCGGGCCUGGCCAUAUCUCCAUCUCUCUUCUCCCCCACCACUUCUUCCACCUCAGGCCGCCGCCACGGCCAGGCCGGCGUGGUGGUGUGCCUCUGCAGCCCAGCCACCACCAUCUCCAUCCAUCUCCGCUGCGGCACCAUCCACAUCAGCGCCGCUGCGCCAUCCAUCACCAGCACCAACACCCAGCGCCACCUAGCACCUCCACACGCUCCACACCGCCACCAUCUAUCACCACCGCACCACUGAACACCUCCGUGCGAGAGUUUCCCUGCUGCCGUCCUUCUUCCCUUGCCUCUGUAGCUGCUCUUUCUUGCGCCCCUGUGCUGCUGCCUUUCUUCUCCCCUUGCUACUGCUCCCCUUUUCUAGCGCCUCAACCUGCUGCUGCUUCUCCUUCGCCUGCUGCUAGUCCCUUUCCCCACGCCUCUGCUGCUCCUCCUCUUAAAACUGCUACUGCUCUUCUUUCCCACGUUCCUGCUCUGCACUCUGCUUCUCACCUCCGUUGCUGCUGUUUCUCUUCUGAACCUCUGCUACUGUUCAACUCUGAACCUCUGCAUCUGUGUUGAAUGUGCUUUCAGUGUUCUUGAGAUGUGUAAAACUGUUCAAUAUUCAGCUUACAAUUUGUGAAACUUUUGUGAUUCAGCGGUGUCUCUAUGUUAUACAUAUAGAUUGUGUAUUGCUCGCUGCAGUAAAUUUCAGUUUGUAAGUUCCUGUGAUAGCUCUAGUACAUGUGACUUUUAUGUUGUCUCAAGUUCCUGUUAUAUAUAUACAUAUGUGUGUGUCUGUGAUGUGAUACAUUUAUGUUCUGUCCUACAACCUUAUUGUGUUAGCAUUUUAUUUCUCAUGUAAAACGAAAAUACCAAAAAUAUUAUUGAAGAUAAUCUGAACCUCCUUUGCCCUUUUUGCAUUUUCUUUGGUGAUGAUCUUUGGGUACAACCUUGUUUAGUAUAGGUUUAUUUUCUUGCAUUCAUAAUCUGAAUUGUGUUACCUAGCUUUAGCCAAGCACCAUCAUCGAUUUGGCUAGUCCCUGAUGAGAACACGACACUCGUAAUUUGGGGCGUAAAAACCCCGCUAUAUUACAAUUGAUCAUUUUGGCGCCGUUGCCGGGGACUAGCGUCGAGCGAUUGUGCGAAGCUGUAGACUAGGCUUAGUAUAGUUUUUGUUUAAAUUUCCAGUCAAAUUUAUUUCUGUGUUUCUUUUACCUUUUUACUUUUUGUUGCUUCGGCUUAUUAGGAUACUAACCCUCUCACCAAUGUUUCAUGUUUGUGAGCGUGUGUAGGAUAUCUUAUUAUUUGUAGGCUGAUUGACAGUUGCACUUGAACAUAUGGCUUUAGUACGUGAUCUUUGGUUGCCAAGUAGUUUGGACACGAUGACAGGGCCAAUUUGGCCAUCUAUUGAGGCCAAAAUUUUUGAGUUGAGGCCUGGACUUAUUGCUCUCGUCUUGCAGAAUCAGUUUAGAGGAUUACCCAAUGAAGACCCUCAUGAGCACAUUAGUAAUGUUCUGGAGUAUGCCAAUACAGUCCAGUAUCAUGGCGUUUCCCAAGAUGCUAUCAAGUGUAUGUUGUUCACAUUCUCUCUCAGAGAUGCUGCUAAGGACUGGUACUAUUCUUUGCCAUCAAGAUCAUACACUUGGGGUGAUAUUUCACAAGCUUUCCUGCAUAGAUAUUUUCCACUUUACAAGCAAGCUGCAAUUCGUGACCAGAUCCUCAGUUUUGCGCAAGAUGGUAGUGAGAGCUUGUAUGCAGCUUGGGAGAGAUAUAAGUAUUUGCUUAGAAAAUGUCCUAAUCAUGGGCAAAAGGAUUGGUUAGUGCUUCAGAUAUUCUAUAGAGGGCUGACACAUGCUUUAAGAGAUCUUAUUGAUAUGUCAGCUGGUGGAACAAUCAUGAACAAGACCGUCGAGGGUGCAAUUAUUCUCAUUGAGAGCAUUGCCUUCCACCAAAUGCAAUGGGGUUAUGAAAGGCCUAGUUCAAAUCCGAAGGUUGCAAGCCUCGUGCAAUCAGAAGUUGUGUGUUCCAUAAGUGAACAUAAAUCAUCCAUGGUGCCUAAUAUUCAAAACUAGAAUGUUUCAUUCCGGGGACAACAACAUUUUAGAACUGAAUUAGAUCCUCCAUAUAGAAUGAUUGAUCUUACUUCAAUUAUCCUUGACGAUGAUUAUGAUAUUUUUCAAGAUGAUGAAACUACUGUAGAUCAGAUGGAAACCACAGUAGCAGAUCCAAUACCUCAUGGCAAUGAAACUGUCCAGAAUGAGUCAAAGCUGCAAGAAGAUGUUUAUGAGGAACCUACUCUGAUUGAUGCUAAGUUGAGACAGCAAGAUAUGGAGAAAUUCACUUGUGUUAGUCAACUAUGUGACUGGUGGAAUUUAGUCGUGUCACCAAUUGCCCACACUUGUGUUACAACGGUAUCUGGGCUAUUUGUCAAGAAGAAAUCAUUAGCUCCACCGGUGGUUGCCUCUAUCACAGUUAAAGAGAGUAUCUCAGAGAAGAAUAGUGAAGAUGAGAUUCCAACUCCUGCACAUACAACUAAGCAAGUCGGAGCCAUUCCAAGGAGAGAGAUACAAGAGGUUGAGUCAAAUUUAGAAGAGUUGAUACUUCAAUAUCCUGCGAAGAUCCCACGUGUUGCUGAGCUGCAUGACUGGUGGAAGUCAUCAGUGUCACUGUUGAGACUUAGUAGUGAUGGUGAUGAGGAGAACAUUGCUCAGAAAGACAGCGAGGUAGUGAUCUCAGCACCCCUACCAGAUCAUGUUAGUGAAUAUUCACAUAUGGGGACACUUCAGACUCAAUUAAGUGUUGCUGGUAGUAGCACCAUAGAAGAUCCAGAGGAAGAGAGUCCUCAACUUGAAGAAGAUUUACAAGAAGACAAGGAACAAGAUGAUCAAGAGCUGCAAUUUCCAAGUGAUCAAGUUGAAGACUCAUCAUCUACUACUCCUGAAGAAGUAUAAGAUGCUGCUGUAGAUGAAGAUGAAGAACCUGAGAUUCAUUGGCCUAUUGUCAUACAUGAGCCCGAUGUGUCAGGUUUACCCAAUCCUCUUGAUGACAUGCUCCCUUGUGAUUUCUUUGCUUCUAACUUGCAUUGCAUGAUGCCAUCACUUAAGGUAGAUUUGAAAAACUAUUUGAUGGGGUUAUGUACCUAGGGUAGGGUCAUGGACCUGUUCCAAGUAACUUACCCCAAGACAUCCUUAGAGGAGGUCGCCUUCCAGUCGACCAAUGAGGACUCACUCGACUGGCCUGAAGGACUCGACCACGAAGACUCACUCGACCACCAGGAGGUCAAGAGGCACUCUGCACUGCAACGGCCUGUAAUCAAGUAGACUUUAUGAUAGUAAAGGCACUUUAUGUGGGGCGUUACCAGUAACGCCCCAGACUUAACUCACCUUAAACCCUCUCCUGCGUGGGCUGGCUAGGGUCCUGGCGCACUCUAUAUAAGCCACCCUCCUCCACAGGCAGAGGGGUUCGGCACCUUGUAAUUCAUGCAUUCAUAAUCCACUCGACCGCCUCCGGGCUCCGAGACGUAGGGCUGUUACUUCUUCCGAGAAGGGCAUGAACUCGUACAUCCUUUGUGCUUACAACCUCUCCAUAGCUAGGACCUUGCCUCUCCAUACCUACCCCCCACUCUACUGUCAGGCUUAGAACCACGACAGUUGGCGCCCACCGUGGGGCCGGUGUUUUAGCGAUUUUGUGGAGAAGUUGCGAUUCUUCCGAGUACUCUCAUCAUGGUGUCUGCUGGAGUUUUGGUUGAGGGUCAAGAGAUCCGUCUCGGCACUCUCACCUUCAUCGCCGACGACUCCGCAUGGCUCCAGGAGGCUCCACUCGACGUAGACGCGCUCCCCGUCCGCGGUGCGACGCAUUUUCGCGCAUGUGUCCGCGGCGUUCUGCUGCGGCAACCGUCGACCCAGUAUCGGUCGGCUCCUCCAUCGUCCACCCUCCCGGUCUCCCGCCAGCGCAAGCGCUCAGGCCGGUCGAGGCUUCAGCGAUGGGUGAGUCACGCAGUGACUCGCCAAUCGGCCACUACACAAGUUGCGGCAAUCGAGCCCAACGAAUCUCUCUACAGCUUGUUCGAUCAGUCGACUGGCUCCGGAGAGACUGCAUCCGAGUGCGGAAGCAGUGAUCCAGCGGCGGAAAUCUUGAUGGUCGACGGGCCCCACAGCCCUCCUGGCUUCGCCCGUGGUGGUGGAGCAGGUGACGGCGGCGACCCUGCAUGAGACUACGAAGAGUACCAGCCCGAGCCACUCGACUCUCUGCAAAGAGAAGAGCUUCGCCGCAGGAACGAGGAUCCCCUGCGUAUUCCCAUCGCAGGAGAAACCCCCGAGGCUCGUGCCUUGGAGGAGGCGCGUCUGGCCAAUUUGGCCGAGCGCACUCGACUGGAGAACCUUCAGCGAGCACUCGACGAGCGCGCGCGGCAACGAGUUCCCGACACCAGUCGACGUCAACUCUUCCCGCCGACUCAGGUAUAUCGAACCCCAAUUCAGAAUUUAGCAGCUGCGACCCGUAUAGCAGAGUCCAUUCAGCCUUCGCAGUCGGAAGCUGGCAGAGGUUUGCUGCAGAUCAGGGAUCUGCUCCGGGCGGCAGGAGAUCAGAAUUCAGCCGUGUCUCAGUCGCGCAACAGAAUUCACAGUCGAUCUGUCACUGUGAAUACGGUUCAGUCGGCUCACAGCCCCAGAUCGCCUCCGCGGCGCGAAGGGCGUGAGAAUCGGCGAGAUCAAUAUGGCGACAGACUCGACCGAGAUGAUAGGCGUCGAAUGCCCUAUUCCCCUCCGAGGGGUGGGUCUUACGCUCCUCGGCAGCCAGAUGAUAGGCGUCAGUACAGUACAGGGCGUAGGGUUCCAGUUGACCCCAGAGAGCCAGGCUUCGACGCGCGAUCCAUUAUCGUGCAAGGGUUGGUCGACCGGAACAGAGCCCAUCGAGGCGCACUCGACAGAGAUGUACCCACGAGCAGUCGAGUACAUGUUUCUGGUCCUGAAUGUUUCAGCAGAGCUAUCAGAGCCGCAGUUAUCCCCCCCAAUUUCAGGUUGGCAACAGGAGUCAGCAAGUUCACUGGUGAGUCUAAGCCUGAAACUUGGCUUGAAGACUACCGAGUGGCAGUUCAGAUCGGUGGUGGGAACGACGAGGUGGCCAUGAAGCAUUUGCCCCUCAUGUUGGAAGGUUCUGCCAGGGCAUGGUUGACUCAAUUACCUCCUAGCAGCAUUUACACUUGGGAAGAUCUGUCCCGANNNNNNNNNNNNNNNNNNNNNNNNNNNNNNNNNNNNNNNNNNNNNNNNNNNNNNNNNNNNNNNNNNNNNNNNNNNNNNNNNNNNNNNNNNNNNNNNNNNNNNNNNNNNNNNNNNNNNNNNNNNNNNNNNNNNNNNNNNNNNNNNNNNNNNNNNNNNNNNNNNNNNNNNNNNNNNNNNNNNNNNNNNNNNNNNNNNNNNNNNNNNNNNNNNNNNNNNNNNNNNNNNNNNNNNNNNNNNNNNNNNNNNNNNNNNNNNNNNNNNNNNNNNNNNNNNNNNNNNNNNNNNNNNNNNNNNNNNNNNNNNNNNNNNNNNNNNNNNNNNNNNNNNNNNNNNNNNNNNNNNNNNNNNNNNNNNNNNNNNNNNNNNNNNNNNNNNNNNNNNNNNNNNNNNNNNNNNNNNNNNNNNNNNNNNNNNNNNNNNNNNNNNNNNNNNNNNNNNNNNNNNNNNNNNNNNNNNNNNNNNNNNNNNNNNNNNNNNNNNNNNNNNNNNNNNNNNNNNNNNNNNNNNNNNNNNNNNNNNNNNNNNNNNNNNNNNNNNNNNNNNNNNNNNNNNNNNNNNNNNNNNNNNNNNNNNNNNNNNNNNNNNNNNNNNNNNNNNNNNNNNNNNNNNNNNNNNNNNNNNNNNNNNNNNNNNNNNNNNNNNNNNNNNGAUAAAGAAGGGAACGACGUGAUGGAUAUGCCGUGUCACAUUCACACGAAGAAAGAUGAAGAGGGGAAUAUCAUUUACCCAAAGCACACCACUCGCCAAUGUCGACUCCUGAUCCAGCAGUUUCAGGAAAAACAGUCUAAGGACAAGGAGAAGGAGUCGGACAAGGCCGAAGACAAAGAGGACAGUGAGGGAGGAUAUCCGCAUAUCAACUCCACUCUGAUGAUCUUUGCAGAUGUGGAAAGCAGAAGUCGACUGAAAGUGAUUAACCGAGAGGUGAACAUGGUUGCCCCAGCAAAGGCAAAUUAUCUGAAGUGGUCUCAAACACCCAUCACAUUCGACCAAUCUGAUCACCCGACUCAUAUUGCCACCCCCGGGAGGCAAGCUUUGGUGGUCGAUCCAGUUGUCGAAGGCACUCGACUGACAAAGGUGCUGAUGGAUGGUGGAAGUGGGCUGAACUUAUUGUAUGCAGACACAUUGAAAGGUAUGGGCAUUCCGAUGUCCCGACUGAGCACUAGUAACAUGAGCUUCCAUGGAGUUAUACCAGGGAAGAAGGCCGAGUCACUCGGUCAGAUAGCUUUGGACGUAGUGUUUGGUGAUUCGAAGCAUUUUCGCAAAGAAAAGUUGACGUUUGAGGUCGUGGAUUUUCAAAGUGCAUAUCAUGCCAUUUUGGGGAGACCAGCCUAUGCACGGUUCAUGGCUCGACCAUGUUACGUGUACCUCAAAUUGAAGAUGCCCGGUCCCAAAGGUGUGAUCACUGUCACCGGUGAUAGGAAAAAGGCAGAGGAGUGCUUUCAGAAGGGCUCCAAGAUUGCCGAUUCCCAAGUGACAGAGGUCGAGUUCGAAGAAUACAAGCAAAACGCAGAUCCGAGUGACUUGCUGCGAUCCAAGAAGCCCGCCACAGAGUCUGCAUUCCAGUCGUCCGGUGAGACGAAGCCUGUUCACAUUCACCCGACCGACCCCGAAGCAGCUCCGACCCGCAUCUCCACAACACUCGACCCAAAAUAGGAAGAAGCGCUCAUCCAGUUCCUCCGUGAGAACUGGGACAUUUUUGCAUGGAAGCCCGCUGACAUGCCAUGUGUUCCCAGGGGACUGGCUGAGCAUCGCCUAAGAGUCGACUCGUCUGCAAAACCCGUCAAAGAGCAUCUUCGGCGGUCCGCCAUCCAGAAGAGAAAGGCCAUCGGUGAAGAAGUGGCUCGACUGUUGGCGGCAGGAUUUAUCCGAGAGAUAUACCACUCCGAGUGGCUCGCUAAUGUCGUCAUGGUUCCUAAGAAGGACAAGUCGCUCCGAAUGUGCAUUGAUUUCAAGCACAUCAACCGGGCCUGCCCGAAAGAUCACUUUCCUCUCCCUCGCAUAGAUCAAAUUGUUGACUCGACCGCGGGAUGCGAGAGGUUGUCUUUUUUAGAUGCUUACUCCGGGUACCACCAGAUCCGUCUGUACGGGCCCGAUGAGGUAAAAACAACUUUCAUCACUCCAUUCGGGUGCUUCUGCUAUAUCACCAUGCCAUUCGGCCUCAAGAAUGCCGGAGCCACAUUUAUGCGAAUGAUUCAGAAGUGUCUACUCACUCAAAUCAGUCGGAAUGUGGAAGCUUAUAUGGAUGAUAUUGUUGUCAAGUCACGAAAAGGUUCCGACCUGCUCGCUGACCUCGCCGAAACAUUUGCCAACCUCAGAAGGUAUGAUAUCAAGCUCAAUCCAUCAAAGUGCACAUUUGGAGUUCCUGGUGGCAAGUUACUCGGUUUUCUCGUUUCCGAACGGGGAAUCGACGCUAACCCAGAGAAGAUUGGCACUAUUCUCCGAAUGAAACGCCCUGUGCGAGUGCACGAUGUCCAGAAACUUACUGGAUGCUUGGCCGCAUUAAGUCGAUUCAUCUCACGACUCGGUGAAAAGGCACUGCCUCUUUACCGACUGAUGAAGAAGGCUGACAAGUUCGAGUGGACUCCGGAAGCUGAUGCAGCGUUUGCCGAGCUAAAAGCUCUGCUCUCCACCCAGCCGGUGCUUGCUGCUCCAAUCAGCAAAGAGCCUCUGUUGCUCUACAUCGCAGCCACAGGACAAGUCGUCAGUACUGUGCUAACGGUCGAGCGGGAAGAAGAAGGAAAAGCUCUCAAAGUUCAGCGCCCAGUGUAUUAUUUGUCUGAAGUCUUGACUCCAUCCAAGCAGAGAUAUCCUCAUUAUCAGAAGCUUGUGUAUGGAAUAUACAUGACCACAAAGAAGGUUGCUCAUUAUUUCUCUGACCAUUCCAUCACAGUCGUCAGCGACGCUCCAUUAUCAGAGAUUUUGCACAACAGAGAUGCAACUGGUCGAGUGGCCAAAUGGGCGAUUGAACUUCUUCCCCUUGAUAUCAAGUUUGAGGCAAAGAAAGCCAUUAAGUCCCAGGCGAUAGCAGAUUUCCUCGCCGAGUGGAUUGAACAACAGCAGCCGACUAAAGUUCACUCGGAGCAUUGGACCAUGUUUUUCGUUGGCUCUAAGAUGUUGAAUGGUUCCGGUGCUGGGGUUGUCCUGGUUUCCCCCAGAGGAGAUAAGCUCAGAUAUGUGCUCCAGAUUCACUUUGAUUCCUCCAACAAUGAGGCAGAAUAUGAGGCCCUCCUAUAUGGGUUGCGCAUGGCCAUUUCACUCGGCGUCCGUCGCCUAAUGGUCUAUGGCGACUCUGAUUUAGUGGUCAAUCAGGUGAUGAAAGAGUGGGACGUGAGAAGCCCAGCCAUGACUGGAUACUGCAGUGCAGUGAGGAAGCUGGAGAAGAAGUUCGAGGGGUUGGAGCUCCAUCAUAUACCCCGACUGAAAAAUCAAGCAGCUGAUGAUCUAGCAAAGAUAGGUUCCAAGAGAGAAGCCAUUCCGAGUGGUGUGUUCUUGGAGCAUAUACACACUCCGUCAGUCAAAGAAGAUCCUUUCACCGAAGAAACUCCGCAGCCCAAGAGCGCCACAGAUCCGACUGAAGUUGAAGUCCCAGCGGUGGUCGACUUGAUCAUGGAGGUUUUGGUGGUCAUUCCCGACUGGACGAUUCCGUAUGUCGCAUAUAUCUUGAGGAAAGAGCUUCCGGAGGAUGAGGAAGAGGCUCGACAGAUCGUCCGUCGAUCUAAGGCCUUUACCGUAAUCAAAGGACAAUUAUACAGAGAAAGCACGACUGGAGUCGGUCAGAAGUGCAUAACACCAGAAGAAGGUCGACUCAUCCUCAAUGAUAUUCACUCGGGGACCUGUGGUCAUCAUGCGUCCUCUCGGACCAUCGUGGCCAAAGCAUACCGAGCCGGAUUUUACUGGCCCAAGGCGAAUGAGAUGGCAAAAGAGAUAGUAGAUAAGUGCGAGGGAUGUCAGUUCUACUCGAAUAUGUCGCACAAGCCUGCGUCAGCUUUGAAGACCAUCCCACUCGUCUGGCCUUUUGCAGUUUGGGGGCUGGACAUGAUCGGUCCUUUGAGAACAGGACGAAGUGGCUUCACGCAUGUACUGGUGGCAGUCGACAAGUUCACCAAGUGGAUCGAGGCUAAACCAAUCAAGAGCCUUGACACCGGUACUGCUGUUAGCUUCAUCAGGGAACUAAUAUUCAGAUAUGGAGUCCCGCACAGCAUCACUACGGAUAAUGGGUCGAACUUUGACUCAGAGGAAUUCAGAGCUUUCUGCGACUCCCAGGGCACACGGGUCGACUACGCAUCAGUCGCCCAUCCGCAGUCGAAUGGGCAAGCAGAGCGAGCUAAUGGAUUGAUUCUCAAGGGACUGAAGCCUCGACUGAUGCGUGAUCUCAAACACGCAGCUGGAGCUUGGGUCGACGAACUUCCCUCAGUUCUUUGGGGACUGCGGACCACACCUAAUCGGUCGACCGGAAGAACUCCAUUCUUCUUGGUCUACGGAGCUAAAGCAGUCUUGCCGAGUGAUCUUCUCCACAAUGCUCCUCGAGUUGAAAUCUACAACGAAGCAGAAGCUGAACAAGCGCGGCAGGACGCAGUCGACCUUUUAGAGGAAGAAAGGGAGAUGGCUCUGAUCCGGUCGACCAUCUACCAACAAGAUCUGCACCGUUUCCACGCCAGAAAUGUGAGAGGUCGAGCCUUCCAGGAAGGAGAUUUGGUUCUCCGAGUGGAUCAGCACAAACCACACAAGCUUGCUCCUUCUUGGGAAGGCCCCUUCAUCGUCACCAACGUUCUCCACAACGGGGCGUACCGUCUUUACAACGUCGAGCAUAAUAUCGACGAGCCCCGAGCUUGGAACGCGGAGCUACUCCGCCCAUUUUACACUUAAGCUUUAUCACUCGGAUGAGUUGCAAUAAAGUACUUUUGUAGUUCAUGGACCUCAAAAUAAUAGUGUCAUAGUUCCUCCACAAUAUCUGUCACUUUUUAUUUUUAUUUUCCAAUAAAAUUCCCCUCAGUGGGUGACUUAGUUGCGAAUCCGUUUCGCCUAAGUUUGUAAAAAUCCUACCGAGUGGUGAGCCAGACUCCCACUCAGAGGCUUAGCUGCGAAUCCGUUUCGCCUAAGUUAUAAAAAUCCUACCGAGUGAAGAGCAACCCUCUCACUCGGGGGCUUAGCUGCAGUCCAAGCACUCGCCUAAGUUGUAAAAAUCCUACCGAGUGGUGAGCCAGGCUCCCACUCGGAGGCUUAGCUGCGAAUCCGUUUCGCCUAAGUUAUCAAAAUCCUACCGAGUGGUAAGCCAGCCUUCCACUCGGAGGCUUAGCUGCAGCCUUGUGCUCGCCUAAGUUAUCAAAAUCCUGCCGAGUGAAGAGCAAUCCUCUCACUCGGAGGCUUAGCUGCAGCCUCGUGCUCGCCUAAGUUAUCAAAAUCCUGCCGAGUGAAGAGCAAUCCUCUCACUCGGGGGCUUAGCUGCAGCCAUGUGCUCGUCUAAGUUAUCAAAAUCCUACCGAGUGGUAAGCCAGCCUUCCACUCGGAGGCUUAGCUGCAGCCUCGUGCUCGCCUAAGUUAUAAAAAUCCUACCGAGUGAAGAGCAACCCUCUCACUCGGGGGCUUAGCUGCAGUCCAAGCACUCGCCUAAGUUGUGAAAAUCCUACCGAGUGAAGAGCAACCCUCUCACUCGGGGGCUUAGCUGCAGCCCUGUGCUCGCCUAAGUUACAAAAAUCCUACCGAGUGAAGAGCAACCCUCUCACUCGGGGGCUUAGCUGCAGUCCAAGCGCUCGCCUAAGGCACCUUGCUUUGAACCUGCAAAAGACAUUCCGAGCCGAAGGCAAUCGUAUUCAAGCACCAAAUCCAAGUUUGAAUCGACAUCUAAAGGAACCGAAAGUUCUCAGGCGUCAAGCCUGUUAAGGUUUGUCGGUUACAAUUUCACUCAGCAUACCGAGGCAAAUUUAAAGCGUCGAGCCAGAAGAAGUUUUUUACCCCUCCUGUGGAGGGCUGGAAGGUGCAACAAAUUCAUCAAGGUCAAUCCCGUCGGUGAUCCGAGUGGCAGCUGCAAGGAAAGUUUCCAUAAAGGAUCUGAAGUCGUGCUUCUUGGUAUUGGCCACCCGAAGGGCCGCCAGCUUCUCUUCUCGCGCAUCUUUGCAGUGGACUCGGGCCAGACACAGAGCGACAUCUGCACCACACCGAGCCGAGGACUUCUUCCACUCCUGCACUCGACCAGGGAUCGUGUUCAAGCGGGCCAUCAGCGAUUCAAGGUCAUUCUGAAGUAUCUCCUCAGGCCAGAGCGUCGAGUCGAUGCGCGAUGUGGCGGCCUUCAGCCUUGCGAGAUAGUCCACGACAGCUGCAACACGAGACUCCAGUCGGAAAACAUCCAUGGCAACUUCGUCGUUCACCGGAGAAUUGACGGGGUCAAGGUUUGGCUCCAGUCGGCUGGUUUCUUCUUCAAAGUUUUGACAAAAUUCUGCAAGGGUGAUCACUAAGUCAAGGAGAUAGUCGAAUGGAAAAAGCCACAAUUGGAAAUAUUUGCCAAACAUGGAGGUCUACCUUCAAGCAUAAGGAACAACUUCUUGGCAAGGCCACUCAGGAAGGCCUCCAGUUCAGUUUUCUUCUCAGUCAAUUUGCUGACUUGGUCGGUCAGGGCAGCUUUGUCAGUUUUCAGUCGACUGACCUCCUUGUUGGCAAUCCCAAGAGCAGCUUUCAGAUUGGUAUUGUCUUGUUCAAGCUUGGUGACUGAAGCUAACUUCUCGUCAGCAAGCUUGAUCUUCUCAGCUAGCUCAAGGUCUUUCUUCUGCUGGGCCUCCCUUACCUUACCUGCAAGUUACAGCAAGAUCAGAUGCUGAAACAAGCAAGGGGAAAAGCAGUCGUCAGGGUCUCACCAAACAUACCUUCGGUCUCCUCCUUUGCCUUUGUCAGCUUCUCCUGAACCAGCUUCAAGCUCAGCUCGACUUGAGUAUGUUUUUGUUCCAGCUCUGAGUAGCGAGCCACAAGAUCACAUGAGUUCUGUGAAGAACCAAUCGACUAAAUGUCAAAUAUAAUUCACUUCCGAGUGAAAAAGGGAUAAACACACGUUUCUAAGACUACAGCCAAAUACAAGCAUUCGACCGUAGUCUCGGGGACUACACCCAGUGGGUGCACUCAGCGUGCCCCCACUAAUCCUGUUGAAGACAAAGUCGACCAGUCGACCUCAAAAAAAAAGAGAGAGAUGCAUUCUCUAAGACUGUGAUCAACUGCAAGCAGUCGACCACAGUCUCGGGGACUACACCCAGUGGGUGCACUCAGCGUGCCCCCACCGGUUUGUGAAGUCCAGUCGACCAGUCGACUGACAGAAAGAUUGACAUCAUAAAGCCUAAGGCCGACUGCCAGCAGUCGACCUUAGCCUUGGGGACUACACCCAGCGGGUGCACUCAGCGUGCCCCCGCUAACACGGAGUUUAUUCGACACACCCAGUGGGUGACUAAUAUAAAUUCCGGAAAAGAAAAGUUUUUGGUAGCAUAUCCAACAGAACAAACAGCGGUCGACUGACCUGGACAUUGCUUUGGAGGGCAGAACUGGCGUCAUAAGCUGCCUGGCUCGCGUCCCGGAUGGUCUUCAGCUGCUCCAUCAUGAGUCCCGCCUGGCGUAUUGCCUCCUUCGCUGCGCCAGCUUGGUCCUCUGGGACGUGGUGCGUCGUAAAGAGGGAGGGCUGCUGAGCACUCGUCAGUGGAUUUGCGAAGGACACCGUGUGUCGAGUGGUGUUCCCUUCCUCCACAGUCAGAAUCUCAGGCGCCGUCACAUCCUGAGGUACCUUACUGGCGGACGCUUUCCGACUCCUCCUGCGUGUCAGUGGUUCUUCAUCCUCGUCGUCGUCAGGGAGAUUGAUAAUAGUGUUGGGUGGAGCUGCGGAGAAGGAUCAGGAUCAAAGAUCGCGAGUCAGUCGACUAAGAACGGUGUUAAGAACACAGUACCUGGAUUCGAAGUUGCUGCAUCCUCCAUCUCGUGGUCAUCAGCCCGGGCCGAGGUCUCAGAAGUAGCAGCACUGCAACUCCAAAGGAUCAGUCGACUAACUUCAGCGUCGACCAGAGAUAAAGUUCACACAGAAUAAGAAAAUAUGAGCAGCACGGUUACCCUGAUAUGGUAGGGAUGGACACCUUCAUCUUCGGCAAGAGCUUGAUCGGCUUCGACGGGGCCGCCCUGGGCUGCUUCGGCGCCUUUUCAGUCGGCACCGGAGAGGUGGUCCGAGGGCGCUUGGUCGACUGAGUGGCGGUCGCAACCCCCUUACCACGUUCGGUCGAAGGGUCGUGGACAAGCUUCGACCGCCUUUCUGAGCGCGGUGGUACGACCUCCUCCUCCUCUUCUUCCUCGUCCUCGACGUCGUCUUCAUCGCCGUCAUCAUCAUCAUCGUCGUCAUCAUCCUCUGCAACAUCCGAGUCCCAUUCCUCCUCUUCCUGGCUCUCGCCCCCGCUCGCCUCGCCUUCCUCAGUCGAAGCUUGUGCCCCAUUGGGCAUCGAGUACAGCUCGGUGAGGGCCUAGCAGAUGCCCAAACAAGGAUCAGUCGACCAGUCGGCAGGGUUAACAGAAAUGAAUACGACAAGGGCGCAGUGGAGAGCAGAGCAAGUGUACCUUGUUUGGGUCGCUGUUGUGGUCGAGUGGAGGAAUCCUUCUGGCUCCGUGCGGGUUGUCCUUGUUUCCGGUAAAGGCUACCAUCCAUCUUUCCAGAGUGACGUCGUCGACUGCUUCUGGAUGGACUCUAGUCUCGUCUUCGGUCCCACAGUACAACCACAUGCAGUGGCUCCGGAAUUGAAGGGGUUGGAUGCGACGCCUGAGGAAGACCUCCAGAAGAUCCAUGCCCGUCACCCCCUCCCGAACCAACUGCACCACGCGCUCCAUCAACAUCUUCACGUCGGCUUUCUCCUCCGGAAUCAGCUUCAGAGGGGAGGGCUUGUUCACUCGGUCCAUGGUAAACGAAGGGAGUCCACUCGACUGCCCUGGUGUCGACUGGACCUGGCAGUAGAACCAAGUCGACUGCCAGCCUCUGAUGGACUCGGGGAAGGUCAUGGGCGGGAAGGUGCUCUUAUUCCUCACCUGGAUCCCCAGGCCCCCACACAUUUGGACGACUCGGGUUCUCUCAUCACCUGGGCUCGCCUUCUUCACGGUCUGAGAGCGACACGUGAAUAUAUGUUUGAACAAACCCCAGUGCGGUCGACAGCCCAAGAAACCCUCACACAUGGACACGAAUGCAGCAAGAUAGGCAAUGGAGUUUGGGGUAAAGUGGUGAAGCUGCGCUCCAAAGAAAUUCAAGAAGCCACAGAAGAAAAUACUUGGCGGCAAGGAAAACCCACGAUCAACAUGAGUGGCCAAAAGCACACACUCACCCUCUUCUGGCUGUGGCUGCCACUCCUUCCCCGGCAACCUCGCAGCUCCGUGAGGGAUCAAGCCCUCGUUGGCCAUGUCGAGGAGGUCCUUCUCUGUGAUGGUCGACUGGAUCCAGUCUCCUUGGACCCAGCCCUUCGGCAGGCGGGAUCUGGACGAGGACCCUCCGCGGCUGGUGGAUCUCCCCUUCGCCUUCUCCGACGCCGACGCCUUCUUGGCGCGCUCCAGCGCCGCCGUCUUCUCCUUGGCCAUGGUCGCCGGAGAGAUGCGCGAAGGGAAGUGGUGCGGGGGCGAGAGCGAGCACGCUGAGCUGGGAAGAAGGAAGCAGAGAGAGAGGGAGAAUGCUGGGGCGCAGCACAGAAAUCCUCGCCGGGCGCAUUUAUAAGGUCCCUUCCGAGUGGCUGACAUGUGGGCCCGGUCGAUCUAAUCAUAUCUGAGAGCAGUUAUGCAGGCUGGAUACGUGGCGAAAAAGGCGGCGCGGAGAUCGAGGCGUCUAUGCCCCGUCCCAUCCGAACGCCGCGGUCCGCCCCGCUUCGCGCGCGCCCCCAAAUUUCGCAUCCCGCGGAAUCCGCGAGCAACAAAUCAGUCUGUCAGACGCGGUGUUUCCGGCGAUCCGUCGCUCGGAGAUCGUCGAAGCCCGAAAGAUCACUCGACGCAAAAACAGAAUGGAUCGAGUCGACUGAAGGCAAAUUGCUCCCUGCCAACGAAGAGAUUCUUUGGUCCAGAACAGCGCACAACUAGAGCGCAAAGGUCAAUCGGAAACGACAUCAACUCCUUCUUCACUCGAAGCCUCAAUCCAUUCGGGGGCUAAUGAUGGGGUUAUGUACCUAGGGUAGGGUCAUGGACCUGUUCCAAGUAACUUACCCCAAGACAUCCUUAGAGGAGGUCGCCUUCCAGUCGACCAAUGAGGACUCACUCGACUGGCCUGAAGGACUCGACCACGAAGACUCACUCGACCACCAGGAGGUCAAGAGGCACUCUGCACUGCAACGGCCUGUAAUCAAGUAGACUUUAUGAUAGUAAAGGCACUUUAUGUGGGGCGUUACCAGUAACGCCCCAGACUUAACUCACCUUAAACCCUCUCCUGCGUGGGCUGGCUAGGGUCCUGGCGCACUCUAUAUAAGCCACCCUCCUCCACAGGCAGAGGGGUUCGGCACCUUGUAAUUCAUGCAUUCAUAAUCCACUCGAUCGCCUCCGGGCUCCGAGACGUAGGGCUGUUACUUCUUCCGAGAAGGGCCUGAACUCGUACAUCCUUUGUGCUUACAACCUCUCCAUAGCUAGGACCUUGCCUCUCCAUACCUACCCCCCACUCUACUGUCAGGCUUAGAACCACGACACUAUUUGCUUGGACAUGAUCAUACACACCCUGUUAGUGGCAUUACUCUCAUUUGUGAUGAUCACAGUUACUUUCCUCGUGCUAGUUCUAUGCUUAAUGAAACAUAUCAUUCCCAUGUUAGUCUUGAGCUUAAUGAUAAAUAUCAUCCUCAUGUUAGCAUUGAGCUUACUGAUUUGUACCGUCCUAAACAUGUGCUUUAUAGCUAUGCUUAUGUAAUUGGGUACUCUAUAGAUGAUUUAGAGGGCAUUACCCUUGUCACUUGUAUUGUUUCCUUGGUUGAGUGCUCUUUCAGGUUGUUGCUUGUGCACGAUCCACUACAUGCUGACCAAGUUCGAGAUGACAUUCCCUGGGACCCCGGUGGACCCAUGGCAUGGGGAUGAGGAGAAGCAAGGAGCACACAUGAAGAGAGAAGCUGGAGCAGGCAUGAGGAUAGAGAAGCAAAAAGAGAAGAGCUGCAGCUUAGAGAGUGAUCAAGCGAGUGCUACUUCAUAGUGCCCGGUUAGCUGUUUCAUGACCCAUUCUGAGUAUAUCAUCCAUUGAUGCUUGCUGAAUUAAAUUGCUAUUUGGGUUGCUUGUGACAUUUCUUAAAUGUUGUCCCACUGAAUUUCACCUUUGACAUAUGGUGCUUGAUGAGAAUAUGCGAACUAAUUGUUGAAUGCCUUGUAACUAGUGAUCUACACCCUGUUUGCUCUGCUGAAAGUAGUGAAAGCUAUUAGUUCUGAGUGCUCAAAUCCCUAGUACACUAGAAAACUAAAUCAUUUUCUGCAUUUACUAUGAUACACCUACAUCACCAUGUUUAGAUGCUGAAUUUGUGCCAAGUGUGUUCCCAUUGAGAGCAAUCACCUAACCACUAUGGAAUAGCAUGCUAUGUUCCCUGGAUCGGUAGCAUGUGAACCAGACAUGGAGAAGUGAUGAUUCCUGUUUUUGUGCUUAUGCAUUAUUCAUUUAAGAUAAGUAAUAAUGAAUAAAUUAGUCUGACUACCUACAGUAGCAUGUCAUGUUCUUGGGAUCGAUGGCAUGUGAAAUCGGGUUAGCUUGGGCAGUAAAUAUUAUAAAAAUGUAAUUGUCGAACCAGAUGUAUACCAUGUUCUCGGGAUCGGUGGUAUGUUCCUUUGGGGUAUAUAAUUGGUCGAGCCGGGUGUAUACCAUGUUCUCGGGAUCGGUGAUAUGUUCCUUUGGUGAGAUCAAUAAAAUAUUAUCAUUACUCCUUCAAAUUCAAUAAGUGGUUCAACCACAAAGUUAUAUUUCUGCAAAUAAGAGAUUUAAUUCCAGUUCUUUUUGUUCUCGGGAUCAUGCUCUCUUUAGGAAUCAUUUGGCGCAAUCAUCAUUUAAACUUGUUGGUCCUCUUUUAUCAUUGUAAAAGUUUAAAAUGGUCAUGCUUACCAGUAUCCUACUGCUUUGUAGCACUCUUAACCAUCAAUUUUCACUAGCUAAGUCCAAAAGCAUGCAUUGUUUAGAGAUCUACUUCACUUGGACAUUCUUUACUCAGUUCACUGUUCACAUUCUUGCUCUUGUCAUAUGCCUUUGCUUGAGGACAAGCAAAGAUUUAAGUGUGGGGGAACUUGAUAAGUAUAUUUCACAUAUAUAAUUUUGGUACUCAAAUAUAGCUUCUAUCGUGACAUAUUCGUCCAUUCUUGCCAUGAUUGCUUGAAUAUUGCUUGAUAAUCAUCAAAAAGGAUCAUUUACUAGUCUUUGGUCUAUCUUGCAGAAAUGUGCGCAAAGGCACUAAUAAUCGUCAAGAUUGCGUCUAUGUGGCUAUCGAGAAGAGUGAAGAAUAGAAGAGAAGGAAGAAGAGACUUGUGUGAGAUGAAGAGAAGUAACCAGGGGGCUAGGUAAAGAAGUGGGAGGACCUUCUUGUGAAGAAAGAAGAGAAGAAAGAGGGCCAAAUCACAAAGUGCAGAUGAGAGGAGGGGAACAAAAUCCCUAGGCGCUGGAGGGAUCCGAUCGGGCCUGGCCAUAUCUCCAUCUCUCUUCUCCCCCACCACUUCUUCCACCUCAGGCCGCUGCCACGGCCAGGCCGGCGUGGUGGUGCGCCUCUGCAGCCCAGCCACCACCAUCUCCAUCCAUCUCCGCUGCGCCACCAUCCACAUCAGCGCCGCUGCGCCAUCCAUCACCAACACCAACACCUAGUGCCACCCAGCACCUCCACACGCUCCACACCGCCGCCAUCCAUCACCACCGCACCACUGAACACCUCCGCGCGAGAGUUUCCCUGCUGCCGUCCUUCUUCCCUUGCCUCUGCAGCUGCUCUUGCUUGCGCCCCUGUGCUGCUGCCUUUCUUCUCCCCUUGCUACUGCUCCCCUUUUCUAGCACCUCAACCUGCUGCUGCUUCUCCUUCGCCUGCUACUAGUCCCUUUCCCCACGCCUCUGCUACUCCUCCUCUUAAAACUGCUGCUGCUCAUCUUUCCCACGUUCCUGCUCUGAACUCUGCUUCUCACCUCCGUUGCUGCUGUUUCUCUUCUGAACCUCUGCUACUGUUCAGCUCUGAACCUCUGCAUCUGUGUUGAAUGUGCUUUCAGUGUUCUUGAGAUGUGUAAAACUGUUCAAUAUUCAGCUUACAAUUUGUGAAACUUUUGUGAUUCAGUGGUGUCUCUAUGUUAUACAUAUAGCUUGUGUACUGCUUGCUGCAGUAAAUUUCAGUUUGUAAGUUCCUGUGAUAGCUCCAGUACAUGUGACUUUUAUGUUGUCUCAAGUUCCUGUUAUAUAUAUACAUAUGUGUGUGUCUGUGAUGUGAUACAUUUAUGUUCUGUCCUACAACCUUAUUGUGUUAGCAUUUUAUUUCUCAUGUAAAACGAAAAUACCAAAAAUAUUAUUGAAGAUAAUCUGAACCUCCUUUGCCC
rnacentral:lncRNA from 1 species